rnacentral:lncRNA from 1 species
CCCCAACUUCCCAAAUUGCUCCUCUGCAGGCCAGGAAACUCUCCACCUCCCUUCCAUCAAGGGGAAGACUCGUAGCCAGCUCCUGUUUCCGUUUUAAAAGGGGCCUUUGCUUCCUUUUGAUCACGGUGCCAAAACUUCCCCCUCUCUCUCUCAAUUUCUUUUCUCCCUUCACCUCCCGGGGCCUUCCAUUGGCCCGGGGCCUUAGGCGACCGCCUCGAUCGCCUAAGGCUCGGGCCGGCUCU